AUGAAGACCAUGUGUUCUUAGUAAAAUGACAGUGAUGAAGACCAUGUGUUCUUUGGAAGCACUAAGCAAACACUGGAGGUACUUGUGCAGCAAAGAUAUUUACAGAAGGAAAAAACUAGUGGCCCAGAUGGCAAUAGUGUGAUGUAUGAGCUUGCUGAACGAGCAUUACAUGAGUCCAUCAGCAUUAAGUUGAAGGAUUACAUAGCUCAGGAUGGAGGAGUAGCGUUCUGGUCGUCAGAUCUGAUGCUAGGCAGCGAGGAUGCAGCUUGAUUAGCAACUCAGUUGCAGUUUAGUUCUUAAAUUUUUGUUGUUUUUUGUGUUUUUUUAUUUUUAUUGAGGUUUUUGUAGUAAUUUGUACUCAUGCAAAGAUUCCAUUCUUGUAGUUAAUUAUAUGAAUUAUAUGAUCACUUACAUAUAUUCAAUUCUA